GCGGGAAAUGAGCUGGCUCUGCACAUUCGGCCUCUUCCAGCGGCUCCCUGUUCCCCAGAGCUGAGAUUUCUUUACAUCACAGUGGUUCAAGGAGAAAAACACAGCCAGAUCCUUCCUCAUCUCAACAUAAAUUAAAACACAGAGGCAGUCAGCGCCACAGUCCACACUCGUAACUGUUACACUCACCUGGAAAUAAAAGUAUUUUUGUGCAGGGACUACAAAGACUAAGCCCGGCCGCACUCCGAGUCUUUCCUCCUCACAGUGACUCAUUGCUCAGGUGAGGAAACUGAGGCUCAGAGAGAGUCCGUGUCAUGUCCAAGGUCACUCCGCUAUGUCCCCAGAGGCAAGGAACUAU
rnacentral:lncRNA from 1 species